AGAGAGAGAAGAUGUGGUCACUUCUUCCUUCCUAAUAAAGCUGAACAAUGCGUUUUAGCUGAAAGGGGACAGCUGCAUUUCAGAACAAACAGAAUCAUUAUUGGCAGUACUUUUGUGAUGGGUUUUUUGUUGUUGGUUGGCUGGUGUUGUUAUGAUUUG